CCAUGUCCCACCUGUCCCACCUGUCUCUCACCUGUCCAUCCCACCUGUCCCACCUCACCUGUCCCACCUGUCCCAUCUCACCUGUCCCACCUGUCCCAUCUCACCUGUCCCAUCUCACCUGUCCCACCUGUCCAUGUCCCACGUCUCACCCGUCCCGGCCGUGCGCAGCACUCGACGCUGUCCCGGAAGUUCGUGGAGGUGAUGACCGAGUACAACGCCACCCAGUCCAAGUACCGGGACCGCUGCAAGGACCGGAUCCAGCGCCAGCUCGAGAUCAGUGCGGACACGGGCGGGCACGGGGGGCAGGGGGGCAGGGGUCACUGGGGGGGCCAGGGGGGUCAGGGGGUGGUCAGGGGUCAGUGGCCACUCAGGGGGGUCAGCGGUCACUCAGGGGGGUCAGGAGGUGGUCAGGGGGUAACUCAGGGGGUCACUUGGGGGCCAGGGGGUCACUGGGGGGUCACUCGGGGGGUCAGGGGGUCACUGGGGGGGUCACUUGGAAGGUCAGGGGGUGGUCAGGGGUCAGUGGUCACUCAGGGGGGUCAGGGAGUCACUCAGGGGGUCGGGGGGGUCAGGGGGUGGUCAGGGGUCACUCAUUGGUCACUCAUUGGUCACUCAGUGGUCACUCAUUGGUCACUCAUUGGUCACUCAGGGGUCACUCAGUGGUCACUCAGGGGUCACUCAGUGGUCACUCAGGGGUCACUCAGGGGUCACUCAUUGGUCACUCAUUGGUCACUCAGGGGUCACUCAGGGGUCACUCAGGGGUCACUCAGUGGUC
rnacentral:lncRNA from 1 species